UACGUAGGGUGCAAGCGUUAUCCGGAAUUAUUGGGCGUAAAGAGCUCGUAGGCGGUUUGUCGCGUCUGCUGUGAAAACUGGGGGCUCAACCCCCAGCCUGCAGUGGGUACGGGCAGACUAGAGUGCGGUAGGGGAGAUUGGAAUUCCUGGUGUAGCGGUGGAAUGCGCAGAUAUCAGGAGGAACACCGGUGGCGAAGGCGGGUCUCUGGGCCGAUACUGACGCUGAGGAGCGAAAGCGUGGGGAGCGAACAGG
rnacentral:rRNA from 1 species